UACAGAGGUCCCAAGCGUUGUCCGGAAUUAUUGGGCGUAAAGCGCGCGCAGGCGGUCCUUUAAGUCUGAUGUGAAAGCCCACGGCUCAACCGUGGAGGGUCAUUGGAAACUGGGGGACUUGAGUACAGAAGAGGAAAGCGGAAUUCCACGUGUAGCGGUGAAAUGCGUAGAGAUGUGGAGGAACACCAGUGGCGAAGGCGGCUUUCUGGUCUGUAACUGACGCUGAGGCGCGAAAGCGUGGGGAGCAAACAGG
rnacentral:rRNA from 1 species